CCUUUGUUUCAGUUGAUGUUUCCAGUAGGUAUUUCAUAGAAUGGCCUGGGUUGAAAAGGACCAUAAUGAUCAUCAAGUUUCAACCCCCCUGCUAUGUGCAGGGUUGCCAACCACCAGACCAGGCUGCCCAGAGCCACAUCCUGGCCUUGAGUGCCAGGUAGUCACACCUAUCAAUACGAUGAUCUACAGUUUGGCACACAGAACAAAACACUGCUGUGCAUCUGUUUGGAAAUAUUUAGUAACACUUCCUGCUUCAUUUAAAUAAUAAUGGCUUGUUUAUUUUAUUUUUUCUCCUGUAUAUAAAGGAGGGUGUGAAGUACUCUUUCCCAGAAAUGAUCAUGAGGUAGCAAAGGCCAAGAGCUUAAUGCUGAGCACAGACAACUUGAAGCCUGCUGCUCUGGGGCUUUCAGAUGAUAAUUGAGUUGCUGGAUCAUUUCAUUUACAGCCUUGGCAUUGGGAACGACCGGAGCUGGUGCUUUACUUUGGUCCCAGCCAUGUGCCUUCAACCACUCUGGAGAAAUGUUGGGAGGAGCUCUCAGUGCGAUCCUUUCCAUACCUUCCAAGGAUUUUUAGGAUCGUGGGAUUUAUGGACCUGCAAAAUCCUCUGGAGAACAUCAGCCACCGACAAAACCAUCUGGAAAUUCCUGCUGUCUUUUUGCCCUGUCUUUCCUGAGUCACCGAGUCUUGGGAAGGAAGCAUCUCUGCUCUGAGGAUUACAGCAAAUCAGUUGCUUGCCGUCCUUACUGGAAUACCUUCCCUUUCAGUUGCUCAGAACAUAGCAAUUACUGAAGAAGGCAGAAGGAUAUUUUUUCCCUUUCACCGAGCUUUUGCAGCGCAGCAGUGGCUGUGUCCGGCUAUGUAGAUGGUUUCCACAUUCUCUACCCAAUUUCUUUUCCUGAUGUUUAGGAACUGAAUCAUUCUGUUUCCCUACUAGCCUCUGCUAAAGGAGGAAUAAAGAAGGUAGGAUAACCAAGGUCAGCACCUCACUUCAAGCUAUCAGUUGGACUGCUUGCGGGUGAGAGAUAUUAAGUUACCAUGUGUGUGUAAUUUAUCCUUUGUGCUGGUGACCAAGUAAUCCAGUAAAAUGGCAGCAAAAAGGAUAGGGAAGUUAUGAAAAUUUGUGCUGUAAACUGAACUGGCAGGAUUACACUCAGAGCUGUGUUUGGUUAUCAGGUGUCACAUUGUCUUUAGAAAGCACCUGAGAGGGAUUUUACUCAAAGUUUUGCAAUAGAAGUCUCAGUGCCCGUAAGUGGGGCAGAGCGCGUCUUUUCAAACAGGGGCUGUGUUGUUCCCUAUCUGGGUGCUCUUCACAAGUUUUGGGCAUGCCGGUUCUGAUUAUGGCUUGCAUUUAUUAUUGCUUAAUGUAAUUAAUGCCAUUGUUUGAAAUUGAUUAAUUAUUAUUUAAUAUCAUAGUAUCUGUCAUUACAGCUUACUUCUACCUUGUAUUUAUUAUCCUCAUCUUUAUAGUAGUGUUGCUAAAUGCUUCCUAGACCUGGGAUGCAUGUGUGCCUCCUUUGAUAUCCUUAGGCACAUUAUCCAAUUGCAGAUUACAGGUGCUGACAACUGUCUGACCCAUUUUCUUUUGUUUGCAGCCUCAUUUUGCACCUUAACUUGGUUUUUGUGAAGUAAUUGAGCUAAAUACAGUAUUAUUUUAGUCUAAUUUAUACACAUUUGACAUUAUUAACGUUCUUGCUUUAUCUGGGUUAAUUCUCAAGGAUGGCAUCCUGGCAUUCUCUGCCAACAGUACUUUCUGUGUACUUAAUAUAGAAUUAGCCUUAAAGGAAUGGGUUUUGAAAACUUAUUUCCAAUCUUCUGCUUAUUUUUGCCGUGUCUGGUCUGCUGACUUUAAGAAAAUUGCACUUCAGAAGAAGGCUGCCUUGACAACACUCUGUACACUAUAUGAUGCCAAGGAAAUAAUUUGCUGCAGAACCCCUAAUACACACAGUCCUUGUUUUCUUUCUUUCUUUCUUUCUUUUGUUUUUUCCUAGGAUAUCUGCUAUGGACCUUCUGGCUGAUUUUUCUCUUGUAAGAUCCAGAGCGAUCAUUGCCUGUCGUGGCAAGAGAAGAUGUGUACCAUCCACCACUCUUGCUGUAUGAAAGCAAGGGGUGCCUUUAUGACCUGCAACUUCUGCUUCUCUGUCAGCUGUUACUGGAAUGAUGGCCUGUGUCACUGGAGACUGCUUCAGAAAGUUUGUGAGACAGACACUAAGUCUAGUGAAUGGAAGAAAAUAUUUGUCACUGUCUUUAUUUGUCACUGCACCCACAGUCCUUAUUUCUAGAAAAAAAAAAAAAAGACUUAAGUUGUACAGCCAUCUUCUCUUCCUUCUUGUCCUCCAUCCUCACAUCUUAUUUUAAUGAGUAAUUUUGAAUGGAUCUGCAUCAAGAUGGAAUUUUGCCUUGCUUUGGAUAGUAUUCAACUAAGUAACUAAAAUUUCCUUCUGAGGUAGUGGGGUAGGGAUGGAUUUGGAUGGUGCUAGGACCUUGUGCUCCAACUUAAUAACAGGAGAAGAGGAAUCCAACAGCACCAAUGUGUUCUUGGGGCAGAAAAGGAGCCAGAUUUAACCCUAAGGUCAAGUGAUGGAAGAAAAGUGAUCCCUCAUGGUCAACUCCAACCUGAAGGAGCCCAAGGAGCAUGAUGACCAUUUGAAUGACUCAUCUUUUGGUCCUGUUCAGAAGAUGAUGUUCUUAUUGCAUGGACAUUAAUGACCUUUGUUUCAUUGCCUUGUCUUUAAGGACUCAAGAUGGUGUUUGCAGAGGAGAUAGAGACCUGGUCUGCCAUGACCGUGUCAGUUUUAUGUAUUUGCAUAAUGUAAAUGCCAGCCCAGCUGAAUUGUGACAGGUGUAUUUGCUGUAGGCAAAUAAAGGUUUUCAAGAAGCUCUGGAGUUUCUAGUUUGAUAACCUGAGAAUGGGUACUUAAAAAGGUAUGUUUUGUGGGGUGACAUGGAGGGUUAGUUCCUUUGAGACAGAAGAAAGGUAAAAGGAUGAAAUUAUUACAACCAAAUUUUCCAUGUACCCUGACUACCAGUUUUGAGUUUGUCAGCCUAGGGAGGUGUUAUGCCUAAGCAGAGCGUCAGAGUCUCAUACAAGUGCCUUAGUGUGUUCAAUUUUACCUUGAUUUUACAUCAAAUUACUGUGUUGUGGUUUAACCUGGCAGGCAGCUCAGUUCCACACAGCCAUUUUCUCACCUCUCCCUCCCAGUGUGAUGGGGGAGGGAGAGAAUUAGAAAAAAAAAAAAAAAAGCACCACCACGAAGUAGAGUUUGUGAGUUAAGAUAAAACUGUUUAAUAAGACAGAAAAGGAAGAGGAAAAAAAUAGUAGUAAAUAACCACAAAACAAGUGAUACACAACACAAUUAAUUGCUUACCACCCACUGGCAGAUGCUCAGCCAGUCCCUGAACAGCUGCUACCCCCCCAGACAACUCCCCACUGUUCUUCAAGUUUUUUUGCAUGAUGCCAUAUGGUGUGGAAUAUCCCUUUGGCCAGCGUAGCUCAGCUGUCCUCGUUCUGCCCCCACCCAGCUCCUUGUGCCCUCACAGCCCCCUUCACUGGCAGGACAGUACAAGAAACUGAAAAGCUGAAACAUCCCUGGCUCUGAGCAGCACUGCUCAGCAAUAACUGAAAUGCUGUGAAUAAAUGUUCCAGCUGAAACCAGGACAUGCUGGACUGCAGAAAGAUGCCACUCUUGCUUUGAGGAGCACUGAAGCUUGCUACCAGUUAGUCAGAUUAGCACCUGUGGUCCUCAUCCUCAGUACUGGGGCUGUUACUGUUGAUUUCAUCAAAACAUUCUUUUCUGCAAAGAAAGGAGUCCUUACAGUUUGAUAGAGGCCACAGAGGUGUUAAAACGUUGAGCCUGAGGUUUUCACUUAUUGCCACCUUAUUCAGUGAGAGCUCUGCUGAAGCUGAAAAGGUUUCAGCAGUGUGAAAUUGCCGAAGGAAAGGAAACACUCAACAUUUUCAGCUCCAUAGUCACCCAAGCCAUAGCUAGUUCCGGAAGGGUCGAUGAGUGUAUGGACAUGAGUAAGCCUUCUGAGACUAGCGUGGGCUCUAUCAGACCUAGCAGGGGUUUCCCAGGUCAGACCCGAAGCUCUCCACUCGAGAUCUGAAUAUCACUGCAGCUGCAUCUACAGGAAGGCUUGGGCUAACACUGUACAGUCAAAAAUGUCUAUUGUUCCCUUAAUAGACAAAGCUAUAACAGGAAAAAUGUCUUGUGUCAACCUGGCCUUUGAAAUACAAAUGAGUAAGAGCAACCUCACUUUUAAAUGUCAUCAUGUGCUUUGUGCACUCACUUUGUAAUUUGCUUGCUUGCUUUUCUGCGGUUACUGCAUUUCAGGGCUUUUGCUUCAAAUGAUGUUUCAACAAAAGGGAAAGGAGAGGAAAAGGCAUUUCUGGUGUUGCAUGGGGAGUUCUGUGGGGUUGCACUGACUUUGCUUCUACUUUUAAGCAUAAGGACAGGCAUUUUGUUCCUAUAAUGAGCCAGCUGGAAAUACCGGCAGCCUUGUUUUCUUAUUUCCUGAAGUUUGAGAGAAAGGGGCAUGAAGGAGCACUGUGCAUCUCUGCUUUGCAAACUUGGCUUUUUCUAUAUGCCCCACAUCCGAUUCAGAGUCUUUUGGGUCCUGGUGGCUUGCAGUGACAUAAUGAAGCUUCCUCUUGAUGAGGAUGGCCAUCCAGCGCUUGCAGCAUAGCAUGUGCCAUCCAAGCACCCUGCUUGCCAAAUCGCCUUGUGCUUUUGUUCACUGCCUUCUGCAUGGGGCACCUUUGGGGUUUGCUUAAAGUCCUGCAUCUGCUUGGUGGACAUCUGUUCCUUCACAGUGAAUCUUGUAGUGAGUGUGUGCAGAACUGACUCUGGAAUUGGGUAGGUCCUUCUGCAGGGAAGCUGGUUAUGGAAAUUUGGGGUUACACUGUGAUGGGCUGACUGGUUUGGGUGUUUUUGAUCUGUUUGUGAUUAAAUCUGAUGGUGACAAUAAAAACAGAACAAAAAAUAACAUGAAAAGUGAAUAAAAGUCCCAGAAGAAUAUUUUGGGUUGUCAUUGGAUCUCCAUCCACAGAAAUUUAAUUGUUUUAAAGUAAUUCAGUGACUAGCUUGAGUUGGCUUUGCAGCCUCCUGUCUGAGCAAUGGACAUUUCUGUGGAAUUAAUCAGAAAGAACUGCAGUUUCUUUUACCAUGGGCAGAAAUAGCCCUCAGACUGAGGACAAUGUGUAAUAGCAAUGACUGUAGCGGUUGACUUAGCCAGAAAUGCACAGCCAGUAAUAAACAGAAAAAUCAUCAGGAAAUAUGUACUGAUGAAUCUGUGCUGAAAAUUGCUCAGAGCUUUACUGUGAUGAGUGGGUAAGGGGGUUGGAAAGAGCAGUGGGAGUUUUGGGGUGAGGUGCUUAGACUGGAGGCAUACUGUGAGGUGGGAUGGGAUUGGGUGGGACAAGACAGCAUGGCAUGGGAUGGGAUAGCAGGGGAUGGCAUGGCAUGGCACGGUAUAGGAUGGCAUUGGAUGGGGCAGGGUAGGAUGGGAUGUCCAUGUACAUGCAGGUGAGUGGCAGAUCCACAGUUCAUUGGUCCUGGGAUUCAGCAGUUUGCUGAGUUGAAGACAAUGCUUGGACAGUCAUUGGUACUGCUCACACUGUUUUAAUUUGAUAAGGUAGAUGAUCUGUUUUGAAAACAAGAACGGGAGGAGUGGACGUCUUUUCAUCACUUUGUUGAUGUUGAAAUACCAUGUUGCAAUAUCUUAUGUUUUAAGAUAUCUAAAUGUACUUCACAAGUUGACUUUGUAUUUUUCGUGUUUGUCUGCCACUCAAAGCGAGCUACUUUUCAAGUAGCUGUUGAAACUCCCCAGGCUGCCCUGGAACCUCUGCAUCAUCCCAGCAGCAGCCCUGGGCAGGAAGGAGAUGCUCUCCGCUUUCAGGUGGCCCAGAAAAGGGCUCAUCCUACUCUCAUGGCUCAGCUGGUGCAAAACUAUGUUCCUUCCAUGAGGGAGACUGAAUUCAUCCUGUCAGGUGUCUAGGAAGGGCUGAUAUGAGCAGCAUCGUGUUUCCACUUUGUUUUAGCACCCACAGCCUUGAAGACCUCGUAUCUUGACACUUUCGGAAUUGGUUGGUGAUGUGCACAGUGGGCUCUCAGCUCAUUCUCCAAUUUUUCUGCCUUUCAGUGAAGAUUUUCCCCUCUCUGCUUUAAGCAUAUCACUUAAAACCACAAACAGUCUGGUGAUGUGGAGCAGGCUGCUGGUGCUCAUCCCCGUGGCACUUAAAGCACAGAGGAUGGUGUAAGUGGGAGAAACUCAUUGAAUCAUAAAAUGGCUUAGGUUGGAAGGGACAUUAAAGAUCAUCUAGUUCCUGCCAUGUGCAGGGCUGCACCGCACCAGCUCAGGCUGCCCAGGGCCCCAUCCAUCCUGGCCUUGAAUGCCUCCAGGGAUGGGGCAUCCACAGCUUUUUUGGGCCAACCAUUCCAGUGCCUCAUCACCCUCUGUGUAAAGAAUUUCUUCCUCACAGUGCCAUUUCUGGGGUGAAGCCCCAGCCCUGCCAGUCACCACAGCCUCCUGCAAGGCUCCUGCACACAAAAAGCUGAGAUUCGGUGUGGCAAAACAGGGAGUUGUGAAGAGGCUUGGGGACAGCAAGUCUGUGCCAGCUCACAGUUUUGUAUAAGUUAAAUAAAUGUUGUCUUUUGAAGGAAGGUGUUGAAAUGCUCCCGUGGCCUGUUAAAAACAGUGUUGCGUUGGGUGAAGAGCUGCCAUCCCCUUUUUCCAUUUCCUUCUCCAUUUCUCUUUCCAUUUCCUUUUCUGUUUCCAUUAAUAACUUUAAGGUUUUUUUUUUGCUCCACGCUUUUUUAACUUUUUGUUCACUUACGACUUUCAAGGUGUGCUUUUACUGAGUUUAAAUGCUUUGCCUUUGCUUUCUUGAAAAUCACAGUCAGUAGAAUGACUGCUGUUAUCUCAGGUUUCCCCGGGCCUUCCCAUGGGCUGCUUUUGAUUUCAAAGGUACAUUUGUUGAAAAAAGGAAGAUUUCCACAAAAAUGCCCACUGCACCUCCAACUCGUUCACACAGGGCUCCUGUUGUGCAGCUGUCCUGUUUUACCGAGCAGCUGGAGUUACAGGCUGAUUAAAGGAGUAGGAAACCUCUUUCAAUUUAUUUCUGCUGCAUGUAUGUGACUUUGGGUGUGCUCGGUUUUUGGGUGAGCUCUGCAGGGAAAACGUGUACUUAACGUGACUGAACCUCCUCUUUUGUAAGUUGAGAAUUGAUCCAAAUUUACCACUUGCUUCUUCUUUGAGAGCUUUUGGUAAUGGGGAUUAUUUAAAUCCAUGUUUUUCCUUCAGUUAGUUUUGCUCUGGGGUGGAGCUCAUCCAAUGCAAUCCUCCCUGGGGGCGAGGUGGGAAUGAGAGGGGUGCUGGGCACAUCACUUUGUCACCAUGCACCUCAUGAUCCUCAGCACUGCAUGCUGCUCCUGCUCAGCACUGCCCACCUUCGCUCCUUGUGCUAACAUAGCUGCCUUUCAGCUUAGGCUGCACAGCACCUCUCCAUAUACUUUUUUUUUUUAACAUGAAUUUGCAAGGGAAGGUUGAUUGAAGUUGGAUCCAAGGCUCUUCCCUGUUGUCAUGUUGCAGGAGAGCAACUUGAGCUUCAUCAAGGCUUCUGCGAGUGAAAAGUGUUAGGUCUCAGUGGCUGCAUUUGGUUCAGAAGCAGAAAAUGGGAGCAGACCUGAGUCUGAUGGAUCUGGCAGCCCAUGAACUCCCCCCUUUACAUGCUUUCCUUGUGUAAUUACAGUAAUGGAAGUCACUGACACUGUCCAGCUGAAGAGGAGCUGCAUGGUUUUGCUGGGCAUUGCAGGCACUUCCUAAUGCAUCAGCGCCCAUGAGUCUCGUGGGUGCAGCCUUCACCCUGUCCCUACCGAGCAGGCUCCAGUCUGGCUGCUCCCAUCUAAUAGCUGGGAAAUUAGGGCUGGGAGCAAGCAAGAGCUGCUUGCAGUGACGCAGAGGGCUUCAGUGGUGAAGCAGAGGCUGAAACUCAAGCAAGGAGCCUAUAGAUGAAGUGCUGAGCACUUCACAAUGGCAUGAUGCACUUCCAUAACCUUGCAGAGUACUUGUGUAAUUUUUCAGAUAGAUGAAGCAGUAAGUAAGCCAUCUGUGACCCCACCAAAACAAUUUCCAAAGGCAGUAGUAUUAAAGGAAAAUAGAAAAAUCAAACAUUGAAGUGUAUGGAGGUCUGCCUCAGGCAGUUCUCAGUGCCUACAGGGCAGGGAGCUGGGGAGAGGAGGAGGUUAGGUGGGUUACAGUCCAGAGAAUGAUAUUGAAAUACAUGAGCCAUCCCUGGGAAAGGUGGAUCUGCAAGCACUGGGUGAAAGAGCAUGAGGAGGGGGGUGGGUUAGGUGGGGGUGUGGAUUCCAGGAAAGGGUUUAUUUCUUAGAUUGCAGAUACUUAAUGCUAUUAGCAUCCAAAUGGCUCCCGCUGGUCUUUGAAGUCAGCAUCUCAUUGAGAAGUAAAGAGCAAAAGAGGUGUGGGGAAUAAUGCAUUUAUUUCAUUUCUGGCUGGUGAAUAUAUUUCUUUGCAAUGUUGAGUUAGCAACGAGACUGUGCAUGGUUUAUUUUAGGAGCACUGGCUCUUCAAAACAUGAGGUAUUUAUCACUUCGGUUGUUUUUUUUUCCUGUUUCAUUAUGUUUUUUUGGUUUUAUUUGUUUUUUGUUUUUGUUUUUUUGUGUGUGUGUGUGUGUCUUAGUACUCAAACUUGCUUUAUACAGAAGACAGCAGAAAGCCACAAAAUUGGAGCCUCAGUAAUUUCUUUACACCCACCAUUUGCCAGUGUUCUGGAUUGGAAACCAACUGCAGCAGCUACUGAGAGUCUCAUUCCUCCUCCACGUGAACCUCCUUCCAGGGAACUGUGAAAAUUCCCACUUCCAUCUCCUUCGCGUACUGGGGUUUCAUGACCAUUAAAACCCGUUCCUGGAACCAUGGGAUGGCCCCACAGCAUGCUUUUGAUCCAGCUCAGAUGUGGGCUUCUCCGUGGGAUGAGUGCCCAGCAAGUCCAGCCAUCAAAACCUACCUAGACCCUAUGGAGCUGCAUGCUCUGACUCAUCCCUACUGAAAUGUCCCCACACCCUGCCCCAGGGCUGUGCAUUCCUGGGCACUGGUUGCCUGUGCCUCAUGAGGUCUUUCUACCAAACUCAUCACUUUGGCUUGGUUCUGCAUCACCACACUGAAACUGUGCAAACUGCAAGCCACCAAACUGUACCUUUGAGCCACCUCACGGGGCACAUGUCCCACAGUGGCUUGGCUGCUGGACCACUCAGGGUGGGAUGCGCAACACACUGCAAGGAAUUUAGUUCAGCACUGGUGCUGGUAGAGCACGGAGCUGGGAGAGCAGCAUCCCUAAUUCAGGUUGAUGCGUGGCUGUGUUGGAGCCCUUUCUGUAAACCACUUCAAAGGGCGUUUUGCUGUUUUGUCUCUUCAUUCACUGUUCUUUCCCACUUGUGCAUUUUGUGCAAUUUUAAAAACUUCUUGCAUGUAUUCCAUUCCUCUUAUCCUAGACCAAGUGGCUAUCUUCUCUUCUUUCUUAGCUGGCUUGUUCAUGCAGAGGCAAGGAGUAGCAAAACAUGUUUUUCCUUCUGAAAAGAGAGAAAAUAAAUGUUUGAUACCUGAUAAUAGUUUUUGUUGUUUGUCUGAGGCAGCUUGAAAUCCUUAGGGAAAAUCAGAAUUGUUCCAUUAGGAUGAGCUGCUUGCAAGCAUCCUGCCAAACUGGAACAGCCCUUCAAGCUGUACUGAAAUGAAUUCAAACCCUCCACAGAUAAGCACAACAUAGGGUAUAAUUUUACUUCAACAGAAGGAAAAAGUCCAGUACAUCAUCUCCUUUUAUUUCAGUGUCUGGUUGUCUUGACACCCAUGUACAUAUAGAAAUAUGCUUUCUUCACAUGUAUUUACUGAGGCACUCAAGCUAAAUGCAAUUGAGCCUGGUGGUUGCUGGGAUGGUUCAUCGUGCACGUCCAGGUGCCAUCUGUACACAGGGAAGCUGGCAAUGCAGUAAAUGGCUGUUUUCCCUUCUUUAAGAGAUGCAUGUUGGGGUUGACUUUUGAUGAUCACUUAGGAUCUUAAGCUUUUGUGCUUUUGCAUUUACCUUUGUGUUGGCUAAAUUUCAGUUCACUUACUUCCCUGUGAACAAUUCUUUUUUUGUUGAAUAAACUAUUCCUUGCAAACCAUAACACUGAUGUCAUUGUUGUUGUGGGGGUUUUGUUUGGGUUGGGUUUUAAGCAGCUGUUGCCACCCAAUGGUGGAUUUCCCUUCAUUAUAUAUCUUCCAAAUACACCCUUUAACUGGUUUUCCACCAUUCUCACCUUGUGGAUUCCUAAAUAUUUUUAUUUAGUUUUGUGGAAAUGUGAGUUCCUCUUGAGGAAAUGGAAGCCUCCUGACAAUAAGCUUGCCUUUCUUAGUUGUUUUCCAUGAACUUGUAUGGUAUGCUAUACAGAUCUCUGUCAAGUUUCCAAAGCAAUUAGCUUGAAAGCCACCAUUCAGAUGGGGCAGAGUUGUAUACUUAAAUCUGUUCUUUCUAGUAGUUAUUGGUUAUGCCUGCUAGGAAAUUUCUGGAUCCUACUGGGUCCACAGUGGGUUUUUAACCCUCCCAUUCUCAUGGAACUGUUGUGGAAGGCAGAAUCAAAGUCUGCUUGGCAUUUGCCCAGAGCACGCACCUCAAACAUACAAGCUUGGGCAGAGUAUUGUGUUCAUGUGGCUCCAUGGCUUUUGUCUUAAGCUGAAUUGAGUCCAGUUGACCUUAGCACAAGUGGAGCAAGCCAAGGUCUGCCCAAACAUGUCUAGGUAGAUGUGUCCCACUAGAAUUCCGUGAAAUUCCUGCUCCAUCUGCUCGUCUCAGUCCUAGAUCUUGCCUUUGGCUGCCCCUAGCACUGGACAUAUAGAACAUGCAUAGCUAUAAUCAAAGUGAUGCUGAAAAUGCCUGCAAUUUAAAAGUACUGUGUUAAUAAAACAGAAGGAGUUGUUGAUAUUCAACUAAGCAGAAUCCUGUUGCUUCUCAGAGAAAAGUGUUUUCAUCUUUGGAGCAACUCUGGCCAAAAGCUCUGGUAGUGACUUAAAGGGCAGGUGAUUACAACAUGAAAAACACAGUCUAGCCCAAGAAACACUUUUGUGUGUGUAUUUGCAAAAUUUUUUGUUUUGAGCCAUGGAAAAUGCUUCUGUCUGAGGCUCUAGUUGGGGCCUGGGGGAAAGCAAAGCAACUCCCCCUGCAUGGGGCAGGUUGGCAGUGAUGGGGCUGAGUCCCAGCAAGGAGCACUGAAAGCGGUAAGAAAGCUCUCACUUUAUUUCUAAGGUCUAGUGCGUUGUCUGUGGCUUGUGCCUGGCUUCUCUUGUUUCUGUGCAGACUCAAACCAAGUUCAAAUAAUGAUGAAAAACAAAACAAACAAAAAAGUGAUGCAACGCACGUCUCAUAUGACUAUUGGAUUUUCACUAGGCAUUGAGCUGGUGGCACCUGCAGUGAUGUGGGGCAGGAUCAUCCCCCUUAGCAUUGCAGAUGGACUGGCCAUGGAAGUCCUUUCUGAACAGACAUAGCCAAGGGAAAGUUGUAUCCACAAGGAAUGUGGUUUUUUUUUUUUUUUUUGUUUUUUUGGUUUUUUUUUGUUUUUUGGGUUUUUUUUUGAAGAUGCCUGUACAUCUGCUGAGUAGCAUACAUAGAGCCUUGCAAAGCUACUUUGCUGAAUUGCCAAUGUCAGAGCUGCCUGAUGUGUGUUCCUGGCCAUAGGAUGCCUUCUGUGCUACCAAGAGUGAUGUAGAGAUGCUCAUAGUAACAGGUAGGAAUCUUCUGUGAUUUAACUGAGAACAAGUGAGACAUUUUAUAUACCCAGAUGCAACAACAGUGCACCUGACUGAAGUACAGACAGACUCUUAUUGCACUGUGAAAUGCCAGCAGGUAGCUUGUGGUCUCCUGGCAACAUUUUGUGAGUGGGCUUUUGGGCCAUUUUCUGUGCUGUAAAUGUAGGAUUCAUACAUAGUACGAAGGGAUAUCAGACCUUGAUGGGUGUUAAACAUGCUAUUCACGCCACUGUGACAAGAGGAGCAUUAACUGUGCUCCAACAUUCACCUUGUACAAAUGGUGAAUCAAAGACUGUCCAUCCCCCAAGGAGGUCAUGGUCUGGAACACUGACAGAAGGAUGUGGUUGGAUACAUGCAGAUGGGGGAGUAAAAUGAAAAUGCCAGGAUGCUAUUGAUCAUCUUGUCAGAUGCAUCUCAGGACACCAGGACACUUACUGUGAGGUUUCUUGUAAAUGUCAUGGCAAAAAAGAGUUUUGAUGAAGUCAGUGAGAUUGUUUGGCAGAUAUCAGGGGAAUUCCUACCAGGCAAGAAAGGGAGCAGGAAAGGAGAAAGUAUUUCCUGUCAACAUGUUUUAUAUUGAUUAGCCCAGGAGACCUGCUUGCAAAGAAGUAGAUUUUGUAAGAGUGAGCAGCAGGUAACAGUGUAGGGUCUGAGUUAGGCCUUGAGAGUUAGGGAGCUCUUGUGUGAUGAGGUAGGGAAAGAGGGGAUCUUUGAAAAGGUGAAGUGGGAUAGAGAAAAUAGAUGUUACAUUUCUGAAGGAAGGGUUGUUGGGUUGACUGGGAUAUGGGAAAAUAAAAGCUUGGAUGGCAGCAGUGGAUUUGGAUGCUGGAUGAAAGGGCAUCCAAAAGAUGUCCCAAGACAUUAUUUUGAACUGAAGUAGAGAGGGAUGUUUGUGGGUCAUGUGUGAGGAGAAGAUCUGGGUGUGUGUUUUGAUGGAGGUGAAGGGAAGGUAGGGAAGAAUGGGACCAUGGUCAAAACCCACAGAAGGGAGACCUGAAGUUGGGCUGGGGAAUUAUGAAGAGAUAGGAAAGGAGCAAGGCAGGAUUCUUGGGAAUUCUGACCUUUGGUUAAAAACCCGCUGCAUUUUUCAGCAAAACCAUGAACAAACAAGUACUGUUAGUGCAUCCAGACCCAGACUGGAUCCUCUGUAGCUCAACCUAUAAAGAUAGUGAAAAGGUUUGAGUGUAACAUGAUCAGCAUCGGCUUAGUGUGUGUGUGUGUGUGUGUCAUGGACCUGUGCUGCACAGCGAGGUGCCUCUGCAUGCUCCCAUUCCAUCGCUGCACACUUGUGAUGGGAUCCUAUUCCCAUAAAAUAGUCAUGUGCUGACGUCUCCUCCUGGUUACACGAGCUGGCUCUGGAAAACCUCAGCUCCUAGAUUACAAACAUAGCAGGGCUCUGUCUGCAAAGGUGUAAGGUUACAAAACACACACACACUCACGCAGCUUAACCGAAACCGCCUCAUUUUUAGCAGUUGUGAGGGUUUAUUCACUGCAGGGCUGUGGAGGAAUGCAGGAAUGUGAGUGGCGUUAAACCUAUUCAUUUGGAGGGGGA
ensembl:lncRNA